UUCACAGUGUGGGAGACUGAGUGCCUUCCCCAUUCUACAAAGAAGGCAUGUCAAGGGCAGCCAUGGAACAAGCUUACUCACUGGGCAAUUGUAUUUUGACCCUGCCCCUUUCGGGAUCACCCACUUCUAGGGUAGAGAGUAAUUUAGCUUCCAUGCCCAUUCAAGCCCACACCUCU
rnacentral:sRNA from 1 species